AAUCAACGCUGGCGGCGUGCCUAACACAUGCAAGUCGAACGCGAAGGGUUCCUUCGGGACCCGGUAGAGUGGCGGACGGGUGAGUAACACGUGGGUAAUCUGCCUUUGGGUGGGGAAUAACCUUCGAAGAGGGCUAAUACCGCAUAACGCAGCGGCACCGAAUGGUGGCAGUUGUUAAAGUGGGGAUCGCAAGACCUCACGCCUGAAGAGGAGCCCGCGCCCGAUUAGCUAGUUGGUGCGGUAAUGGCGUACCAAGGCGACGAUCGGUAGCCGGCCUUGGCGGGUGAACGGCCACACGGGGACUGAGACACGGCCCCGA
rnacentral:rRNA from 1 species